CUGUGGAUAUACAACUUAUAUUUCUUAUGUUUGUAAUCGUCUAUUUUCACAUGGUUUGGGUAUGUUUGGUUGUCUUAAGCUGUUGGUGAUAUUUCAUUUUUCCUUGAAAUGUUGAAUUUCUCGAUAUAGUGUAUAUAGACAAUAUAAAAGCCUACUAGAACCAGAAAAGUACCUCUCUCUAUUAACAAGUCAAAAACAACGAAAUAUAAUGAUAAGACUUAGGUGUGGAAUUUUAAAAUUAAAAGUUAACGAGGGAAGGUGGUUGGGAAUUGAAUUAAGUCAGCGAUUAUGUCAAUUGUGUAAAAAAGGAAUUGAAGAAGAGUAUCAUUUUAUCCUUGUAUGUAAACACUAUAGAAAUUGAAGACAGCGUUAUCUACCAUAUAUGUACCACCACAGUGUAAAUAUUCCCAAAUUUAGACAGCUAAUGAAUUCAAAGUGUUGUGAUGUAUUAAAUAAUUUAUGUCGAUAUGUUUGUCAAAGUUCAAUCUUAAAUGUUAGAAAUCUGUAACAUAUAUAAAACAUCAUUGUAUAUUGUACAUUGUAUGUAAUUAAUGCUCGAUGUAAACGUACUAUGUGUAUAUGGGCCAAUGGCCUUCAUUCAAAUAAACAACUUGACUUGACAUAUUGCCUAGAUAACCCUCUCUAGUUUCAAGU